rnacentral:rRNA from 1 species
AAACCAACAGGGAUUGCCUCAGUAACGGCGAGUGAAGCGGCAACAGCUCAAAUUUGAAAUCUGGCCUUCGGGUCCGAGUUGUAAUUUGCAGAGGAUGCUUUUGACGAAGCGGCGACCGAGUCCCCUGGAAUGGGGCGCCUUAGAGGGUGAGAGCCCCGUAUGGUCGCACUGCCGAGUCUCUGUAAAGCUCCUUCAACGAGUCGAGUAGUUUGGGAAUGCUGCUCUAAAUGGGAGGUGUAUGUCUUCUAAAGCUAAAUACCGGCUAGUGACCGAUAGCGCGCAAGUAGAGUGAUCGAAAGGUGAAAAGAACUUUGAAAAGAGAGUUAAAAAGUACGUGAAAUUGUCAAAAGGGAAGCAUUUAUGACCAGACUUGGGCGUGGUUGAUCAUCCGGCGUUCUCGCCGGUGCACUCUGCCCGCCUAGGCCAGCAUCAGUUCGCUUCGGGGGAGAAAGGCACUGGGAAUGUAGCUCCUUCGGGAGUGUUAUAGCCCUAUGCGUAAUGCCCUGGGGUGGACUGAGGUCCGCGCUCGCGCUUGGAUGUUGGCAUAAUGGUCAUCAAUGAC